CUCCUACUCCCUUCAUUCCGAAUUACUUUCGUAUGUAUGGAUGUAUCUAGAUGUAUUUUAGUUCUAGAUACAUUCAUUUCUGCGACGAGUAAUUUGGAACGGAGGGAGUACCAA
rfam:Triticum urartu cultivar G1812 contig641957, whole genome shotgun sequence.